rfam:Oryza sativa Japonica Group DNA, chromosome 12, cultivar: Nipponbare, complete sequence.
CCCCAUCGUCCUUGUGUGUAUCUGUGUUCAAUGGUUUAUCGUUCAUCUUAUUUUAAAUUUUUUUUAUAAUUAAUGUUUUUAUUAUUAUUAGAUAAUAAAAUAUGAAUAGUAUUUUAUGUGUGAUUUAUUUUUUUUAUAAAUUUUUCGAUUAAGACGGACAAUCUAAUUAAUGUUGGACGCAAAAACUCGUAAAUGAAUUUAUU